rnacentral:rRNA from 1 species
GAUGAACGCUGGCGGCGUGCCUAAUACAUGCAAGUCGAGCGAACAGAUGAGGAGCUUGCUCCUCUGACGUUAGCGGCGGACGGGUGAGUAACACGUGGAUAACCUACCUAUAAGACUGGGAUAACUACGGGAAACCGGAGCUAAUACCGGAUAAUAUAUUGAACCGCAUGGUUCAAUAGUGAGAGACGGUUUUGCUGUCACUUAUAGAUGGAUCCGCGCCGCAUUAGCUAGUUGGUAAGGUAACGGCUUACCAAGGCAACGAUGCGUAGACGACCUGAGAGGGUGAUCGGCCACACGGGAGCGGAGACACGGACCAUGCUACUACGGUAGGCAGCAGUAUGGAAGCUUCCGCAAUGGGCGAGAGCCUUACGGAGCAGCGCCGCGUGAGUUAUGAAGGUCUUCGGAUCGUAAAACUCUGUUAUUAGGGAAGAACAAAUGUGGAAGUAACUAUGCACGUCUUGACGGUACCUAAUCAGAAAGCCACGGCUAACUACGUG